rnacentral:rRNA from 1 species
UACGGAGGGUGCAAGCGUUAUCCGGAUUUACUGGGUUUAAAGGGUGCGUAGGUGGGUAGGUAAGUCAGUGGUGGAAAUCUUCGAGCUUAACUCGGAAACUGCCAUUGAUACUAUUUAUCUUGAAUACUCUGGAGGUAAGCGGAAUAUGUCAUGUAGCGGUGAAAUGCUUAGAUAUGACAUAGAACACCAAUUGCGAAGGCAGCUUACUACAUAGUUAUUGACACUGAGGCACGAAAGCGUGGGGAUCAAACAGG